rnacentral:rRNA from 1 species
UGGGGAAUAUUGCACAAUGGGCGCAAGCCUGAUGCAGCAACGCCGCGUGAACGAUGAAGGUCUUCGGAUCGUAAAGUUCUGUUGCAGGGGAAGAUAAUGACGGUACCCUGUGAGGAAGCCCCGGCUAACUACGUGCCAGCAGCCGCGGUAAUACGUAGGGGGCUAGCGUUAUCCGGAUUUACUGGGCGUAAAGGGUGCGUAGGUGGUCCUUCAAGUCGGUGGUUAAAGGCUACGGCUCAACCGUAGUAAGCCGCCGAAACUGGAGGGCUUGAGUUCAGGAGAGGAAAGUGGAAUUCCCAGUGUAGCGGUGAAAUGCGUAGAUAUUGGGAGGAACACCAGUAGCGAAGGCGGCUUUCUGGACUGCAACUGACCCUGAGGCACGAAAGCGUGGGUAGCAAACAGG